AAGUGCAUAAUACUGGAGCGCGGAAUACGAGUGAACCUAUGUGUGUAUAAUAAAUUAGUCUAAUAUUCAUAAUAUCCUCGUGUAUGUAAUUCUAAUAUUGUUUCUAAAUUUUCAAUCACUAAAAUCACACUACUCGUAUUUUGCUUCAUCUGAUAUUACCAUAAUCAUCUUAAGAGUUCUGGGUUACUCAAAUCGAAUAUAGGUACUUAUUUUAUACUAGUAUUUAUUAGUUGUACUUGGAAUAAAUUCUAUUGUUGUUGAAUUUUGUUUAACUGUGUCAAAUAACAAACGCAGGUCUUAAGUCUCUUUGACCUGUAAAAUAUAACCUAA